rnacentral:rRNA from 1 species
GACAGAGGGUGCAAGCGUUGUUCGGAAUCACUGGGCGUAAAGCGCACGUAGGCGGCUAGGUAAGUCGACUGUGAAAUCCCAAGGCUCAACCUUGGAACUGCAGCCGAUACUGCUUAGCUUGAGUUCCGGAGAGGUUGGUGGAAUUCCUGGUGUAGAGGUGAAAUUCGUAGAUAUCAGGAGGAACACCGGUGGCGAAGGCGACCAACUGGACGGAAACUGACGCUGAGGUGCGAAAGCGUGGGGAGCAAACAGG